rnacentral:rRNA from 1 species
AACGAACGCUGGCGGCAUGCCUAACACAUGCAAGUCGAACGAGACCUUCGGGUCUAGUGGCGCACGGGUGCGUAACGCGUGGGAACCUGCCCUUAGGUUCGGAAUAACUCCCCGAAAGGGGUGCUAAUACCGGUUAAUGUCUUCGGACCAAAGAUUUAUCGCCGUUGGAUGGGCCCGCGUUGGAUUAGCUAGUUGGUAGGGUAAAAGCCUACCAAGGCGACGAUCCAUAGCUGGUCUGAGAGGAUGAUCAGCCACACUGGGACUGGGACACGGCCCAGACUCCGACGGGAGGCAGCAGUGGGGAAUAAUGGACAAUGGGCGAAAGCAUGAUCCAGCAAUGCCGCGUGAGUGAUGAAGGCCUUAGGGUUGUAAAGCUCUUUUACCCGGGAUGAUAAUGACAGGACCGGGAGAAUAAGCUCCGGCUAAACCCG